GAUGAACGCUGGCGGCGUGCUUAACACAUGCAAGUCGAACGGUGAAGGCGGAGCUUGCUCUGCUGGAUCAGCGGCGAACGGGUGAGUAACACGUGAGCAAUCUGCCCCUGACUCUGGGAUAAGCGCUGGAAACGGCGUCUAAUACUGGAUACGAGCUGCGAAGGCAUCUUCAGCAGCUGGAAAGAAUUUCGGUCAGGGAUGAGCUCGCGGCCUAUCAGCUUGUUGGUGAGGUAAUGGCUCACCAGGGCGUCGACGGGUAGCCGGCCUGAGAGGGUGACCGGCCACACUGGGACUGAGACACGGCCCAGACUCCUACGGGAGGCAGCAGUGGGGAAUAUUGCACAAUGGGCGAAAGCCUGAUGCAGCAACGCCGCGUGAGGGACGACGGCCUUCGGGUUGUAAACCUCUUUUAGCAGGGAAGAAGCGAAAGUGACGGUACCUGCAGAAAAAGCGCCGGCUAACUACGUG
rnacentral:rRNA from 1 species